rnacentral:rRNA from 1 species
UACGAAGGGGGCUAGCGUUGUUCGGAUUUACUGGGCGUAAAGGGCGCGUAGGCGGCCUGUGCAAGUCAGUUGUGAAAUCUCCGAGCUUAACUCGGAACGGUCAACUGAUACUGCUCGGCUAGAGUGCGGAAGGGGCAACUGGAAUUCUUGGUGUAGCGGUGAAAUGCGUAGAUAUCAAGAGGAACACCUGCGGCGAAGGCGGGUUGCUGGGCCGACACUGACGCUGAGGCGCGAAAGCUAGGGGAGCGAACGGG